rnacentral:rRNA from 1 species
UGGGGGAUAUUGCACAAUGGGGGAAACCCUGAUGCAGCGACGCCGCGUGGAGGAAGAAGGUCUUCGGAUUGUAAACUCCUGUCCGAGGGGACGAUAAUGACGGUACCCUUGGAGGAAGCACCGGCUAACUACGUGCCAGCAGCCGCGGUAAAACGUAGGGUGCAAGCGUUGUCCGGAAUUACUGGGUGUAAAGGGAGCGCAGGCGGACUGUCAAGUUGGGAGUGAAAACUACGGGCUCAACCCGUAACUUGCUUUCAAAACUGGCGGUCUUGAGUGGUGUAGAGGUAGGCGGAAUUCCCGGUGUAGCGGUGGAAUGCGUAGAUAUCGGGAGGAACACCAGUGGCGAAGGCGGCCUACUGGGCACUAACUGACGCUGAGGCUCGAAAGCAUGGGUAGCAAACAGG